UACGUAGGGGGCAAGCGUUGUCCGGAAUCAUUGGGCGUAAAGCGCGUGUAGGCGGCUCGAUAAGUCUGCUGUGAAAGUCCAGGGCUCAACCCUGGGAUGCCGGUGGAUACUGUCGAGCUCGAGUCCGGCAGAGGCGAGUGGAAUUCCUGGUGUAGCGGUGAAAUGCGCAGAUAUCAGGAGGAACACCAAUGGCGAAGGCAGCUCGCUGGGACGUGACUGACGCUGAGACGCGAAAGCGUGGGGAGCAAACAGG
rnacentral:rRNA from 1 species